rnacentral:misc_RNA from 1 species
CCGGGUUUCCCCAUUCGGAAAUCCACGGAUCAAAGCUUCUUCGCAGCUCCCCGUGGCUUAUCGCAGCGUAGCACGUCCUUCAUAGCCUCUCAGCGCCAAGGCAUCCACCGAAUGCCCUUAAGACACUUGAUCGCUCUCAUUAUCAAUGCCCAUUCCCACUCGGCGUGGCGAUCGCAGCGGUUAGAGCCGCAACGAUCAGGCAUUGAUUUAGAAAGACCAGCUUGCUUCGAGAUCGGUCCGACGUCCCCUGCGGUCAAGCAUGGGACGACACGCAUCGUCACGCGACACGAUCGAGGAUCUUGCGAUCCACGACACGCAUCACGCUUUGAUGCUGGAGAUUGCGCAGCCCGCACGGGAUUCACAUCCCGCCCGAGUGCUCGGAGCGAUCUCCUCUUCACGAUGUCAGAAACCACGCACGUCGCUGUCGCGACGCGCGAAGACAGUUUACUUCCGGACGAGCCGAUAACGGCUUUGAAUUGGCGGCUUGAAUUCAACCGACUGGUGGAGCCAGACGGGAUCGAACCGACGACCUCCUGCUUGCAAAGCAGGCGCUCUCCCAACUGAGCUAUGGCCCCUUAUUCAGCGGCAAGCUCAAGUCAGAUUGCAGUCUUCGCCUCGCUUGCGCGAGCGAA